rnacentral:rRNA from 1 species
UACAGAGGGUGCGAGCGUUGUCCGGAAUCACUGGGCGUAAAGGGCGCGUAGGUGGUUGGGUAAGCGUGUGGUGAAAGCCCGGGGCUCAACCCCGGGUCGGCCAUGCGAACUGCCCGACUGGAGCACGGUAGAGGCCAAUGGAAUUCCGGGUGUAGCGGUGGAAUGCGUAGAGAUCCGGAAGAACACCGGUGGCGAAGGCGGUUGGCUGGGCCGUGGCUGACGCUGAGGCGCGACAGCGUGGGGAGCAAACAGG